rnacentral:lncRNA from 1 species
GAAGGAGCACCGUUUGGAGUUCAUCCGAACCGUUUGUGAAGCUUCGUGUACAAGGGUAACAUGGCUGGUGGGAUAUGUCGGUUUGGUCAAUCGGUUGCUGCUGUGUUUGAUUUAUGACAGUUACACGAGGUUUCGAUAGCAUUCCGGAUCAUGUUUUCUCUCUAAAGUAAGCAAUAAAUGAUGACCAUUUGAAUUUGAUACUGAUAAUUUUGAGAUUACUUCUUUUAAUUUUGUUGAUCUGUAAAAACUAUAUCAUGCUAAAAAUCAUUUUGAAUAUGCUAGGUGUCUUGUUAAAACUAAUGUUAAUAUCUCAUUAUUUUUGGUUUAAAGAAGGUGUGCUACUUUGAGGGAGUCUUGGCUUUUGUUAUGUCUAAAGUAUUAAUUGGAUUUAUUUUUAUGUUGUCUGAACAUUAAGCUUGUUAGCACCUGGGAAUUGUAGAAACAUAAAUAUUUUAGACUUUUUGCUUGGAUGCAUAUUUCUCACACUGAACCGAAAUCACCGAAAAUGAAAUAGGUGCAUUGCAUUUUCUUUUUCCUGGUUGUUUAGUUACGUGAAACAUGUGUUUACAACAUAAGGCAUUGGAAUGAAUUAUAUAAUAUGUCAUUUCUAAAUGAUUAUUACUAGCCAUGAGUUUCAAUUAUGAUUGGAUUUUGUUGAUUAAGAUUAUUGUAGAUUAAAUGGUAUAAGCAUAUCAUUAAUUUUGAUUAUUGUAGAUUAUAAAUGAUAUAAACAUUGUAUUGUAAAUAUAAGUUUGUUGUUUGUUUCUACUUCAUUCAAUUUUAAUCGGAUUAAAUUUGUGGAUUCGACAAGCUCAUGUCGCUAUGCCACCAACAUUUCAAUAAAUUAAGGGAACAUUUCGCCGCGUUUGGAUUUUCGCGAAUAACAUUAAACGUUGUUAUCUCGCAUAAACCGGUUUGAGCACAUUACCACCAAUUCAAUUCAACUUUUUUAAACCGAC